AAAACACUGGGGGUCAGGGGACGGUUGUCCUCGCGGGGACCACAGCACUGGCAACUCCCUGACUGAGAGGACACCCAGUCAGGUGGGCCUGGAGCACCGGGGGCUCCCGAAGUGGGGCCUGAUGGUGCCCAGGAGCGCUGACUUCAGGAGGCCUGAGUCCAUUUGUCAUUGCCUGGAUAGAAUAUAACGCUUUCUUUUCACAAAGCCCUCGCAGGAAACCCCUUGUUUAACUCUCCCUCUAACUGCCACCUUUUUACUUUAUUGUGGAAACAAGAUAUGAAUGUUUAGUGCAAAGCACAAACAUCAUGCCGUUUAUACACUUCCAGACAGAACCAUUACAAGAAAAUGAUCUCAGUGUUUAUGAUUUUAGCUGUUGUUAUUCAGGGAAUAUGAUGAAUUUGGUUUAAAAGAAUACUAAUGAUCUUGUGAAUUUGAAGACAGUAUCAUAGCCCUGGAUUUAUUAUACUGAAAUUAUUAGAUGAACUUUUACUGUUUUUAUAAUAAAAAUAUUAUUUUGUUAGAGGUAGACAUAAAAAGUUGAACACAAACAAGUUAAUCUAAGCUGUUAAAUUUUUAAAAAGUUUAAAUUUGCAUGAAUCAUCUUUUGAAUUAUAUUUGAGAAUCGAUGUUUAGUACUAAUAAUCUAUAGUUUAGUAACUUGAACCUUACGAGUCUUCCAUACUUGCAGGUGUGAUAAAGAAGAGUUGUAUCAGCUGAGCAGUCGUCAUUGUGAUUACAUCCCUGAUUGACUCAUGAGUAGGCUUUGUAAUGGCAGAUUGUCCUUUUGGACACACAGCCAAAAUGCUAAAGUUCACUGGGAGGUCUGCUAAGGUUUCUUAUAUCAAAGAGUUGACAGAGAAAGGACUUACUAAAUGAAAAUAUUAUUUAGUAGUUCCUAGUAAACCUCAAAAAUCAUUCCAAAUUGGAACAUACACUAUGUUUACAUGUUUAAGUUAAACUGAGUCAUGAAGCUAACCGCUGACUUACGUAUGCUUUUAGUAGUGUUGCCUAAAUAUUCUCCUUUAAAAGAAGUCCCCACAGGAUUAUGAGAUGUACAUAUAGUACAAUGUCAUUUUUCUUGGGAAGCUUUCAGCUUACUUAUGCAAUAAGGAAAUUUAAGGUUAUUUGAAUACAUCUGGAAUAAUAGCUUUAGAUUUUUGAAAUUGUCUUUUUGGGGUAGCUUUUCCCUUUUUCCUUGACAAAAUAUAACACAACGAUCCUUUUUCCCAUCUGAGCUUAUUUCAAGUUGUUAUGGUAGCAAAGUUAUGGGUUAUGAAAUGCACAAAAAUGUUGGUACAGAUAUACUUAGUGGUCCCCUUAAAAUAAAAUUGGAAAUUAAGAAUAGAGGGGAGGUUGUGGCUCCUUGGUAUUGUUAGGAGAGCAGAAUCUAUUAUAGUACACUCUUACAGUUAAACAAUUUGGAGGCAAACAAGGUUAUGUGAGUGACAAAGUUUGGUAAACCUGGAAAGCACUAUGUUAAUGUAAGAUUACUUUCUAAAAAUAUGAUUCUCAUUCCCUUUUUUCCUUCACAAUAAAAUUGUAUAGAACAUAUGUGUAAUAGAACAAGGAGAACUUCUAAAAUGCAUGUUAGUUUCAUCCUUUGAGGUCACAUAUUGGGUCUCCUGCAUUCUAUUUACUCUCUAUAAGAUUUAAAACAGAGAGAGCAAAUAGACAGAAGGCAGGGGACCCAACUAUGUGGCCUCAAAGGAUGUGGCCGCAAAGGUACUAUGAAAGUAUUUAUUUAGUAGUAGUAGUAGUAUAGGGACCAGUUACUCCAGAUUUAUAUGAAUAACAAUCCCCAGAUUUUAUGCAGCAUCGUGUUGGAGGUGCUAAGUAGGAUCCUUAGACAUAUUAGUUGAAUCUCAUAAUCACCAGGAGAUUAACAUACUAUUUUAUGAAAAAUGGAGUGUGAGGAGUCCUUAUGGACUGCAUAGAUUCUGAAUUUUUGUAACGUUAAUCCAAACCCAGUACCUUGUCUGCAAUUAUAGUCUAAGCAUAUGUGAUUUGAUUAAUACAUGAAUUACAAAUAUAUCUACUUUUGGCAUAUAUUCCACUUUUUGUACUGCAGAAGAGUUUUGUGCCUUUGCAGUGACCAAAACUAUAGUUCUGUUUAGGGUCAGUAGGAGAAUAUCUUUUUCCUCUUAACUGAAAGUUUGUGUUUCUUGGAGGAAAAUCCUAGAAUAAAUGCAAUCCUCCAUUGUAUCUGGGAAUUACAAUUUGAAAUAUCUUAAACAGUAUUUUUUGAAAGAAUUGGUUGUCUACUGUGUGCCUUUUCCAAUGAGCUACAUAAGUAAAGGCAGAGUUUUGUCUUUUCCUCUCUGAAUGCCUAAUGCCUAGAACAGUGCCCGACCCAGAGCAGUUGCGCAGAGCACAGGUGCUGAAUGAAGAAAUAAAGAUGAUACUGCCAUCUUUUAUAUUUCAGAUGCUAUUUUGUGGUCUUGGAUCAUAAUUUUAGAAUUCUGUUUUUGUUAAGAGGUUUAAAGUCAGCAAAGGUGAGAUAUUAUUUGAUUUUUAAUGAAAUGUAAACAUACAGCAGAUGCACAAUAAACAUUUAUUAAAUUAAAAAACCACCAAAAGAAGCAUGAUACUGCAAUCCUGGUGCUUUAUUUACUAUUCUAGUCAUUUGCAAUCCUCCUUUUGCAUCUAAUGAGAGUCAUUUUUUAAAAAGCUCAUUGACCUAUCGAUUUAUAAAAGAAGACAUUUAGCAAAGCUAAAGAGAGGCCCACUUGAAUUUGAAUCGUUUUAACUAGCGCUUAACCCUUGGGCUCUGCAUAGCGGUUUGAGAUCCAAAGAUUCUUUGAGCUCUUAAACCUCUUUCAUAUUUGAUUAUUUAUUGCCUAACAGGAUCUUUGAUGCCACAUUUGAGCCUUUCUGGAAAUCGGAAUUAUGGAUUAAAAGCCAUUGCUGUACCUCCUGCCUGAUUGGCGAAUUUACCUGAGACAUUGAGGCUCAAGAUUAUGAGAAUGUGUGACUAGGACCAAAAUCAUAUUUCCAGGUAGGAAAUCAAAAUUGUUCUAUUUAACUCCUUUGCAUUUGAUUUUGCAGAAGUCAAAUCACUGAUUUCUUAGGAGAUACAAAAUCUGAAAAGGAGGAGCAGCAUAGACAUUGAGGUUGUGCUAGGAAUUACUUUGUUUUUCUUUCAUUAGAUUAUUUUAUUUGAUUUCCAAACAAUAGGGUAAUAGCUAAGUUUUGAAACAAGAUCUGAGAGGAACUUGCAGAAGCAUAUCUAUGUUUGCAAAAGUGUUCCGGAUAUGAUUUUGAUUCUUGAAACCUAUUUGAAAAAUAAUAAUCAGAAUAUAAAUAAUCUUUAGGUUUAUCAUAUCAGAGAAAAUAGGUACUGGUUAUGCGACGUUUUAUGUGUUUCGUAGCAUAUUUAUUAGCUAUGGAUUGAUUUGUGCUUUGCAUUUCUCAUAAACUUCCCUAGAUGUGAUAAGGUCACAAACUCUCUCUGUUAGAAAGGGCAGGGGUGGGGAAAACUCACACAUCAUGCAUGCACUUAAGUUUUGACAUAUUGAUUUACAAAGACAAGAAUCAGCUUGCUAGCAGCUUCUAUGAGGUAAUUUUACAUGGAGUAAGUAAAAAAAUUAAAUAGAGUUCACGCAGUAUAUGAAGAUAAGCAACUGAAAAUCUGAAAUAAAAGUGGAGUUAAUAUUAUGCAGUGAUUCUUACCUCUGCUGUUAAAAGCAUAAAAGCACUGUGAUCCUUCCAUCUAAACUACAGAGGUUUCAGCUCCAUGGCAACACGAAGAACCUAUUCUGUCAGAGGGUGUGUAUACACAACUGCAUUCAAAGCACGGGGCUGGGAGUGAGUUUGGGGGAAAAACCCCCAACCCUCCAAGACUUGCCCAUGCAUUUUUAUGUGUGUAUUAUAAUAAGGUCUUUGUGCAAGGAGGCCUGAUAGAAGUUCACAUCAGCUGCACUCUGGUCUUUUACAUGAUCUAGCCGCCAUCCACCUCCCUUCUUUCUCCAGAAAGGAAGCCAGAAGAGGCAAUUAAAGAAUGUGACUGCAAGAGAAAUGCUCUUCUCCCUCUCUCUUCUUGGAAUGUCAACAUAGUUAUUGCUUUUCUGUGUGUCUCAGGGGGGCACUUGGCUGCUUCUUUCCACAGCCUUAUUCCAGGGAGAGCUGUUUAAUUGUAGCCUUCAUGUAGAGUAGGGGCUGGCGAGAGCCAUAGUCAGCUUUCUCCUCUGUGCAAGGAGUGCUUUUGGUAGGUCACCUGAUGUCCCGCCUUGUACUUAAGUACCGUGUGGCCCGGGCUGGCGAGGUGGCAUGGAGUGAUUGGCAAAGUGGGUAUUCCUGCCUAGAGUUUCUCAGCCCCUCACUCAACUCUCAUAUGUCAAGUUUCUUCUCUCACUGUGCUUUGCAGCCAUCCUCAUCUUUGUCAAUUCCACCAGUCCUUUGCUUAGUUUCUUCAUUCAGAACUAAUAGUAUCACCACUUGACUAUUGAUAUGCCCACGUUCCUGUCCUGCAUCUUAGAAGUGAAAGCACAAUCUGAAAAAUGUUUAUUUUUGCUCUGUUCCACUUUAGCCAAUCCAGGAGAUAAAUGGAAUAUUCUGCUCUAUCCUGGUUAGCAAUGAGAAUCAUCUCUAUUAAGGUUUAGACCAUUUUUAUUUCACCGAAAACUUGAGGUUGAGUAUCAGUGAUUCUCUCCACUCGAUUCAGAGACUAGGGAUCCAGGAGAUAGUCUAUUCAAUACAGAUAUUCACCCUUUUCCUUUCACCCCUGAACUUAACCCCUGCCCAGGAUCAGAGAUGGCUGCGGUGGUGGCAGGAGGAGACUAUUGACGAGUGGCCUGGGAGAGGAGGAUGCUAUGUUCCUGCGGACACACAACAGCUAAAUGUUGUUUUCAGCCUUACACUUUGAGCUGCACUCUCCUAGAGUUUACAAAGAUAAAUGACCUAUUCUUGCCUCAUUGUUUCUGCCUGGAUCAUUCUCUUGGGAUUUGCUUUUAAAAAUAAAUUAUUUGCAACUAAGAUUAUAUGUA